rnacentral:rRNA from 1 species
GACGGACGCUGGCGGCGUGCCUAAUACAUGCAAGUAGAACGCACAGUUUAUACCGUAGCUUGCUACACCAUAGACUGUGAGUUGCGAACGGGUGAGUAACGCGUAGGUAGCCUGCCUGGUAGCGGGGGAUAACUAUUGGAAACGAUAGCUAAUACCGCAUAAUAUUAAUUAUUGCAUGAUAAUUAAUUGAAAGGUGCAAUUGCACCACUACCAGAUGGACCUGCGUUGUAUUAGCUAGUAGGUGAGGUAACGGCUCACCUAGGCGACGAUACAUAGCCGACCUGAGAGGGUGAUCGGCCACACUGGGACUGAGACACGGCCCAGACUCCUACGGGAGGCAGCAGUAGGGAAUCUUCGGCAAUGGACGAAAGUCUGACCGAGCAACGCCGCGUGAGUGAAGAAGGUUUUCGGAUCGUAAAGCUCUGUUGUAAGAGAAGAACGGGUGUGAGAGUGGAAAGUUCACACUGUGACGGUAGCUUACCAGAAAGGGACGGCUAACUACGUG